UGGGGAAUUUUGGACAAUGGGCGAAAGCCUGAUCCAGCAAUGCCGCGUGUGUGAAGAAGGCCUUCGGGUUGUAAAGCACUUUUGUCCGGAAAGAAAUGGCUCUGGUUAAUACCUGGGGUCGAUGACGGUACCGGAAGAAUAAGGACCGGCUAACUACGUGCCAGCAGCCGCGGUAAUACGUAGGGUCCAAGCGUUAAUCGGAAUUACUGAGCGUAAAGCGUGCGCAGGCGGUUGUGCAAGACCGAUGUGAAAUCCCCGAGCUUAACUUGGGAAUUGCUUUGGUGACUGCACGGCUAGAGUGUGUCAGAGGGGGGUAGAAUUCCACGUGUAGCAGUGAAAUGCGUAGAGAUGUGGAGGAAUACCGAUGGCGAAGGCAGCCCCCUGGGAUAACACUGACGCUCAUGCACGAAAGCGUGGGGAGCAAACAGG
rnacentral:rRNA from 1 species